rnacentral:rRNA from 1 species
UGGGGAAUAUUGCACAAUGGGGGAAACCCUGAUGCAGCGACGCCGCGUGAGCGAAGAAGUAUUUCGGUAUGUAAAGCUCUAUCAGCAGGGAAGAAAAUGACGGUACCUGACUAAGAAGCCCCGGCUAACUACGUGCCAGCAGCCGCGGUAAUACGUAGGGGGCAAGCGUUAUCCGGAUUUACUGGGUGUAAAGGGAGCGUAGACGGAGCAGCAAGUCUGAUGUGAAAGGCAGGGGCUCAACCCCUGGACUGUAUUGGAAACUGUUGGUCUUGAGUACCGGAGGGGUAAGCGGAAUUCCUAGUGUAGCGGUGAAAUGCGUAGAUAUUAGGAGGAACACCAGUGGCGAAGGCGGCCUGCUGGGCUUUAACUGACGCUGAGGCUCGAAAGUGUGGGGAGCAAACAGGAUUAGAUACCC